UAGAUGCGACAUCUGUCCCCUCACUGUUUGCCAGGAUUAGUUUGGCUAAUCUUCUUGGCAAAGCUGGUGCCACUU
rnacentral:sRNA from 1 species